GACGUAGGGCGCAAGCGUUGUCCGGAAUUACUGGGCGUAAGGGGCUCGUAGGCGGCCAACUAAGUCAGACGUGAAAUCCCUCAGCUUAACUGGGGAACUGCGUCUGAUACUGGAUGGCUUGGAUUCGGGAGAGGAAUGCGGAAUUCCAGGUGUAGCGGUGAAAUGCGUAGAUAUCUGGAGGAACACCGGUGGCGAAGGCGGCAUUCUGGACCGAUAUUGACGCUGAGGAGCGAAAGCCAGGGGAGCAAACGGG
rnacentral:rRNA from 1 species